rnacentral:SRP_RNA from 10 species
GCCAGGUGUGGUAGCACUUGUCUAUAGUCCCAACUACUCGGGAGGCUGAGGCAAAAGGCUGAGGCAGGAAGAUCAGCCUGUAGUGAAUUAUGCCAAUCAAGUGUCCACACUAAGUUCAGCAUUAAUCUGGUGAACUCCUGGGAGCAGGGUAUCACCAGGUUACCUAAAAAAGAGGGAACUUGCCCAACUUGGAAAUGAAGCAUGUCAAAACUCCCAUCCUGAUCAGUAGUGGGAUUGUGCCUGCAUAUAGCCACUGCACUCCAACCUAGGCAACACAGCAAGACCU